rnacentral:pre_miRNA from 1 species
AAUAGAUGAUACUGUUGACUUUUUGUUGCACGUUUGACCAUUCGUUUUAUUCAAAAAAUGUAUGUAAUUAUAAUUUAUUUUGUUAUGAGUUGUUUUAUCACUCAAAAUACUUUAAGCAUGAUUUAUAUCUGGCAUUUGCAAAAAAAAAUUGAAUGAGACGAAUGGUCAAAUGUGCGACAAAAAGUCAACGGCGUCAUCUAUU